UAGAGUUUGAUCCUGGCUCAGAUUGAACGCUGGCGGCAGGCUUAACACAUGCAAGUCGAGCGGGGGAAGGUAGCUUGCUACUGGACCUAGCGGCGGACGGGUGAGUAAUGCUUAGGAAUCUGCCUAUUAGUGGGGGACAACGUUCCGAAAGGAACGCUAAUACCGCAUACGCCCUACGGGGGAAAGCAGGGGAUCUUCGGACCUUGCGCUAAUAGAUGAGCCUAAGUCGGAUUAGCUAGUUGGUGGGGUAAAGGCCUACCAAGGCGACGAUCUGUAGCGGGUCUGAGAGGAUGAUCCGCCACACUGGGACUGAGACACGGCCCAGACUCCUACGGGGCGCAGNA
rnacentral:rRNA from 1 species